GUGUAUGGAAUGUCAAAUUUCUAGUAUGAGAAAUUAACGAUUUAAGUCCUUCUUAAAUGAGGCCAUUUACCCAUAGAGGGUGCCAGGCCCGUAUAACGUUAAUGAUUACUAGAUGGCAUUUCCAAAGAGUCGUGUUGCUUGAUAGUGCAGCACUAAGUGGGUGGUAAACUCCAUCUAAAACUAAAUAUAACCAUGAGACCGAUAGUAAACAAGUACCGUGAGGGAAAGUUGAAAAGAACUCUGAAUAGAGAGUUAAAUAGUACGUGAAACUGCUUAGAGGUUAAGCCCGAUGAACCUGAAUAUCCAUUAUAGAAAAUUCAUCAUUAUGAUUUUAAUAUUAAUAAUAUUAUAAUAAUGGUGUGCAUUUUUUCUAUAACGGACAUUGUAAUCUAUUAACAUAAGUAUAUUUAUCAUAAGAUCAAUGAUGCGUAAGUUUAUUCAAAUUAUUUUGCUUGCAAUUUAACAUAGAAUAAAUGCUCUUGAUUUGAUAAAGUGUUGAUAGAUUUAUUGUAUAUAGUGCUUAAAUAUUGAUAUUUUAUAAUAGCAUAUUAAUCAUUGAUUUUUAUGUUUAUUAUAUGCACUUAUAUGAUUAACAAUGCGAAAGAUUCAGGAUACCUUCGGGACCCGUCUUGAAACACGG
rnacentral:rRNA from 1 species